UGUUUCCUGGAAUGUUCGAUACUCCUAUAGUUUUGAUCCUACAUUUGACUAAAGGGAUUCCUAUAUUUUUAAGUGGAUGUCAGGCCUCCGGAUGCAGUGGAAGGCAGAAGCUUAUGUGCGGUUACCCACCUGGCUACGGCUAGGCGUCAGAAUCAUAGGAACCGGCAUUUUGGGUACAUA
rfam:Butyrivibrio crossotus CAG:259 genomic scaffold, scf58